rnacentral:rRNA from 1 species
AGGACGAACGCUGGCGGCGUGCUUAACACAUGCAAGUCGAGCGGAAAGGCCCUUCGGGGUACUCGAGCGGCGAACGGGUGAGUAACACGUGAGCAACCUGCCCCUGGCUCUGGGAUAGCCUCCGGAAACGGGGAUUAAUACCGGACAUGACCCUUGACCGCAUGGUUGGGGGUGGAAAGUUUUCGGCCAGGGUGGGGCUCGCGGCCUAUCAGCUUGGUUGGGGGGGUGACGGCCCACCGAAGGCGACGACGGGUAGCC